AUUGAACGCUGGCGGCAGGCCUAACACAUGCAAGUCGAGCGGAUGAAGGGAGCUUGCUCCUGGAUUCAGCGGCGGACGGGUGAGUAAUGCCUAGGAAUCUGCCUGGCAGUGGGGGAUAACGUACGGAAACGGGCGCUAAUACCGCAUACGUCCUGAGGGAGAAAGUGGGGGAUCUUCGGACCUCACGCUAUCAGAUGAGCCUAGGUCGGAUUAGCUAGUUGGUGGGGUAAAGGCCUACCAAGGCGACGAUCCGUAACUGGUCUGAGAGGAUGAUCAGUCACACUGGAACUGAGACACGGUCCAGACUCCUACGGGAGGCAGCAGUGGGGAAUAUUGGGCAAUGGGCGAAAGCCUGAUCGAGCCAUGCCGCGUGUGUGAUGAAGGUCUUCGGAUUGUAAAGCACUUUUAGUUGGGAAGAACAGCAGUAAGUUAAUACCUUGCUGUUUUGACGUUACCAACAGAAUAAGCACCGGCUAACUUCGUG
rnacentral:rRNA from 1 species